AGCAGCCGCGGUAAUUCCAGCUCCAAUAGCGUAUAUUAAAGUUGUUGCAGUUAAAAAGCUCGUAGUUGAAUUUCGGGGUUAGUAGGCUGGUCGUGCCACAGGUAUGCACUGGUCUUACUGAUUCCUCCUUCCUGAUGAACCGUAAUGCCAUUAAUUUGGUGUUGCGGGGAGUCUGGACUGUUACUUUGAAAAAAUUAGAGUGUUUAAAGCAGGCUAACGCUUGAAUACAUUAGCAUGGAAUAACGAAAUAGGACGUUCGAUCCUAUUUUGUUGGUUUCUAGGAUUGACGUAAUGAUUAAUAGGGAUAGUUGGGGGCAUUAGUAUUCAAUUGUCAGAGGUGAAAUUCUUGGAUUUUAAUUGAAGACUAACUACUGCGAAAGCAUUUGCCAAGGAUGUUUUCAUUAAUCAAGAACGAAAUUAGGGGAUCGAAGACGAUCAGAUACCGUCGUAGUCUUAACCAUAACUAUGCCGACUAGGGAUCGGAUGAUGUUAAUUUUUUAAUGUACUCAUUUCGGCGCCU
rnacentral:rRNA from 1 species